AGGGAAUUUUCGGCAAUGGGGGAAACCCUGACCGAGCAACGCCGCGUGAACGACGAAGUACUUCGGUAUGUAAAGUUCUUUUAAGAGGGAAGAAUGGCCCGCGGAAAAGCGGGCGUGACGGUACCUUUUGAAUAAGCCCCGGCUAACUAUGUGCCAGCAGCCGCGGUAAUACAUAGGGGGCAAGCGUUAUCCGGAAUUAUUGGGCGUAAAGGGUGCGUAGGUGGCCAUUUAAGUCUUUGGUGUAAGUUCAGCGCUCAACGCUGUGAUGCUAAAGAAACUGGGAGGCUUGAGUGUGGUAGAGGCAAGUGGAAUUCCAUGUGUAGCGGUAAAAUGCGUAAAUAUAUGGAGGAACACCGGUGGCGAAGGCGGCUUGCUGGGCCACAACUGACACUGAGGCACGAAAGCGUGGGGAGCAAAC
rnacentral:rRNA from 1 species